GAUGAACGCUGGCGGCGUGCCUAAUAUAUGCAAGUCGAGCGAACAGACGAGGAGCUUGCUCCUCUGACGUUAGCGGCGGACGGGUGAGUAACACGUGGAUAACCUACCUAUAAGACUGGGAUAACUUCGGGAAACCGGAGCUAAUACCGGAUAGGAGCUCCUGCUGCAUGGUGGGGGGUGGAAAGUUUGGGUGGCUGGGGAUGGACUCGCGGCUUAUCAGCCUGUUGGUGGGGUCGUGGCUUACCAAGGCUUCGGCGGGUAGCCGGCCUGAGAGGGUGACCGGCCACAAUGGGACUGAGAUACGGCCCAGACUCCUACGGGGGGCAGCAGGGGGGAAUAUUGCACAAUGGGCGGAAGCCUGAUGCAGAAACGCCGCGUGCGGGAUAACGGCCUUCGGGUUGUAAACCGCUUUCGCCUGUGACGAAGCGUGAGUGACGGUAAUGGGUAAAGAAGCACCGGCUAACUACGUG
rnacentral:rRNA from 1 species